UACGGUGGGGGCAAGCGUUGUUCGGAAUUACUGGGCGUAAAGGGCUCGUAGGUGGCCAACUAAGUCAGACGUGAAAUCCCUCGGCUUAACCGGGGAACUGCGUCUGAUACUGGAUGGCUUGAGAUUGGGAGAGGGAUGCGGAAUUCCAGGUGUAGCGGUGAAAUGCGUAGAUAUCUGGAGGAACACCGGUGGCGAAGGCGGCAUCCUGGACCAACACUGACACUGAGGAGCGAAAGCCAGGGGAGCAAACGGG
rnacentral:rRNA from 1 species